CACCGCACUAAAAAAGACUAUUAUUCGCUCGCUCCAGAUUUUUCAUUUUUAUCCUGCUUACAAUUUAUCCUUCGUCUCGUUUUGCUAUGGCCUCCGCCGAGAUCGCGGAGAUUGAGUUCCGAUAGUUCGUCGGUGAGCUCCUCUGUACCACCGACAAUGAGGCACUGGAGAGGGCCUUUUCCUCCUCCUGUGAAAGAUACCGAAUCGAAGAUCAUCGAGGACCGUCAGAUCGGUAGGUCGAGGUGCUUCGGAUUCGUUACCAGCAACAUACGAAUGCGAUCCAAGGAGGCCAGAACCUUGAUUUGAGGGUUUUCUUCUCCAAUGUUAGAGCGGGUGUUCUUUUGCGAUCUUUGUGUUAACUAAUUUUAUAUUGCGAUGUUAGGGUUAGCUAGCGCUCUUUUUCCAUUGCGAUAUUAGCGUUGUUUUGCGAUUGCUAGGGUUAGAUAGCUUUCUUUUGCGGUUGCAAUGGUAGGGUUAAUUAGCGUUCUUUGCGAUUGCAGUGUUAGGGUUAGCUAGUGUUCUUUUGCGAUUGCGAUGUUAGGGCGAGCUAGUGUUCUUCCGUGAUGUUAGUGUUUUUCUGUAUAAAUGAUAGAGGGGCUUUGCGCGUAUCAGGUGUGGCUUUUUUCAAUGUUGUUUAUAAACCGUGGCCCAUAGACUUAAGUGAAAACAUGUCGUUUGUUGCAGACAUCUGGUCUUUUUGGUUGUGCCCUUGCUCAUGUUGGUGUGAUGGACUUGCGGUGGUUCCCACGAAUGUACCAUAGGUAAUCACUUUUUCAUUAUGUCAGGUGACCAUGGGAACAACAUGGGAGGCAACCUCACCACUAGCUUUCCAGAUCACGAUGACCUAUUUGCACCAUUACACCUUUUGUAGUUAUUAAAGAAUUCGCACUGCCAGACAAAUAAUUUAACUAGUGGUUUCUCACUGAAUCAGGAAUAUUUUUUUUUACUGGAAGUAACUGCCUGCCAGUGCUGCAGCUUAAUGCAAUUGAUCUAUACCAGAUGAAACUUUGGGACGAAGAAGCUGAGUCCGUGGAACUUCAGUCAAAUUUCUUCUUUCUUUCCAGGGAAAAUGUUCUGUAAUGUCUCUCUUUCUUCGUUUGUCAUGGUUCAACGUAUUGGACCAAUAAGGCAAUGGGCUUAAAUACCAGGGGUUACUAUUUUAAA